rnacentral:misc_RNA from 1 species
CUUUUUUAGCUUUCUUUCAAGCAACUUAGAAACAAACAAACACACAAAAACAGAGAAGAAUCUUAUUGAUUAUCUUAUUAAAAAGGAUUUAUUUUCCAUUUUCCCUCCUAUAUUAUACUACUUGUAUGUCAUGUGUACAUCGAGAAUGGCGUUAUUCCCCUGCAGAUAUUUUCUACAGAUGGUCAUUUUAAAGGGAACAGGUGAAUCUUCAUCAGGCAAACACACGUUACAAAUUUCCAAUAAGAUAUGGGGGAAAAGAAUACUUGGUUAGGAUUAAUUAUCUACUUCUAUUUCAAAUAAAUAACCCGAAAUUUGUCUCUUUUUUGUAAUGGCAUAUUCAACAAUAGGAUAAAGUAGACCGCAAGGCAAACUAAUCCUAUUUCUCUUUUAGGUGUUUCGCCGUUGGUUUUUUAAUUAAUUAACCUGUCUUCUAAGCUAUAGUUGCAGGCAAAAUUUCAAGUCUCACAAACCGAGUGAUUUCUAAUGGGAAUCGUAAUGAAAUAAACUUUUCUUCUAUCCUUUUAUCACUCCCUUUUUCUUUUUCCCUUCCCGGUCGCUGGUUUGUCACUUUUUCCCAUUUUCUUCCCCUUUCAAGGCUCUACCGGAUCAGUGUCGUUUAUUAGGUAAACAAUAAAUAUUUUUAUUCCUUUAUGCUAAAUAUUCUCGGUUAGAUUUCUCUUCUCGAGAUUGUUCUCAAAUUUUUUCUAUCUUACCUUUCUCCCUUCUCAUUACCCUUUCGACUCUUUCGAUUUCUUUUUUAUCUCACAUUUUACUCUUGUUCCUCUCUCUUCUUCGUUUUAUGCGUCUAGCUAGUUUCUUAACGAACGACAAACAGAGAGAGGAAAAACAAACACCUAAUAACGCCAUCUAUAGUCUAAUCAAGUGAAUAGAACUAACUGAAUAAAUGCUUUUCGUAAAGGAGAGCAGGAGAGUCUAUUCAAACAAAGAAGUUUUACUCUAUUGAACGAAGAUAUAGUGACAUAGGACUAGAUUAAAGCGAAUCUCGAAACCUAGAUGUUUAUUUACGAAAUAAAUUGUACUUUAUUAAGGGACAAUCGAUGAGAAAACAAAAGUAGUCGACCAAGAUUAGGACUAUUAGCUCAUAGGAUUGUAAAUGAUAUGGAAUUGAAUGAGAAUAGGCGUUAUUUUUCCCUAAUAAUCAUAUAGGUUAAAACAAAAACAAUAAGUCUAAUUUUUUUUUAGAGGCAGCUUUCCUUUCGUGUUUGUCUUUAACUCUUGUUCUACAUAGUCAACAUAAAAUAUAUAGCAAAUCCUUUGAUCUACUUAGACGCUUAUAACCGCACCUUUUUCUAUGCAAUAACUCUUUCGGAAACGUACAGAAAACUACUUUGAUAUGAAUUUUUGUGUUAUUUUCUUGGUAUGUACAAACAAUAAUCAGUUUCUUCAAUUUCCUACAAAUACACAACCAAAAUAUUUGAUUGUGACUUUUUCUUUUUUAUUAUUCUUUCUUUAUUUCUGUCUUUCUUCCUCUCUCUCUCUCUCUCUUUCUCUCUCCCUUCCUCCCUCCCUCCCUCCAUAGUUCUGCCUUGGGCUUUCAUUUUUGGCUUGUUCAACUGUAUCUUGCGUAUUUGAUCUUUCUACUUGUUCAAAUCAAUCAACAAAUUUGUCGGCUGCAAUUGCGGUAAACUUUCAUUUAUUUAUUAUUUUAUUCAAUCUUUCUUUAACUCUCUCUCUCUCUAUCUAUCUAUCUAUCUAUCUAUCUAUUUGUUUCUCAUAUUCUCCAAGAGCAGAUCCUUUCCAGCGUUAUCGUUCUCGAGUAUGCACACUGUCAGGCGGUUGAAAAGGAGAAAAAAUAUUCACUGGUUAGUUUAUUUUUAUAUUUUCUCUACUAUUAAUCAUUGUUAUUUAUAGCAGACAACUUUUUUUUCUUUCAUUAUAACGAUACUAUUUUGUUUCUUUGUUUUCCCAUUCAACAAAAUCAUUAAAAACUAGGGAGUAUUAGCCUGCUCAUCCAUCUUUCUCAUUAUACCGGCAACCUGUAAUUGUUUGUUCAAUUCAUCUUUAAGAAUAUACGAAAAGAUAAGGGUUGUUUCUUUAAAUCAAACCCAAUUUAUCUCCAAUAUAUUUUCGGCGAAUGAUGUAAGUUAUAUUAUAUUUUUGUACCAAAAUCUCUUCUAGUAAAUGAUAAAACUGUUGUUGUUCUUAGAAAAAUUUAACGGCAUUGGAAAUCUCUCUUCUAAUAACUGCCUUUUUAUCGUUAACCGUCUCAGUCUACAUCCUUUUCUCACGAAUUAAAGCGAUGCAAUUAAAGAAGAGAGUAGGUUCCAUUUGCUUCUUUCUCCUUUCUAAUUGGAUCCUGAUGCUAAUUUUGCUAAAUAUAAUUUUAAAUUAUUAUUCUUUUAUGUCAUUGCAGGAGGCAACAAGUAUUUAUCCAACUGCAUCGCCUAUCUAUUGUACCUUGUGCCAUCAAUGUAUUAAUUGUCGAAAUAUUGCAAUUAAUCAACAGCAAUUCGACUCUCCGCUUUCGGAUCAGGGGAACUUUUUACCAAGAAUCUCUUCGAGGGAAAGGUAAAGGCCGAAAAGGAAAGACACAAAGAUAGAGGGAAAGAAGAUGUGAAGAGAAGGAGGAAGGAAAGAAAGAAAGUAAAUAAAAAAAUAGCAAGCAACCAAUAAACAAUGUAGUAGAAGAACGAAAAAGGAAAUUUUAAUAAGCACUCUCUUUCUCCCAUUUUGGAAAAGAAUUCUAUUUCUCACUCAUGCUUACUUAAGCUUUUCUCCGCUUCGGGCAAUUUUCACGGCAGAUUAUAUAGAGCUCUAUGUCUAUUGUUAAAUAUUAAUAUUUAAUAAAUAAAUCUAUAUAAUUUAAUAAUUUCAAUGAAUUCUAAAGGUAAACUUUGUCCUUAGGAAAACAAUGACAAGUAUUAUCUUUUAUUUUAUAGAUUUUCGGAGGCUGCAGCAGCUAUGUUUACGUUUAAGAAAGAAGAAUAAAAACAUAAUUUUGGCCUAAAGUAAUUGAAUUGAAAUUUUAUAAAUCCGAUACAAUCUUAAAUCCAGGACCAACUGGUUGUCUUACUUUCAAAGCAGACGUUUAAAGCUUUGUUAAUCCGUGCAGGCUUUUAAAUCCGUUAAUGGACCAACUCAACAUAGAAAAUAUAUAUGUUAAUAAUUAAAGUAGAUCUAAUAAAACUUUUAGGCAAAAAAUAUGUAAAGAAUAAAGAAAUCUCCUUGUAGUUUUUGUUGUUUUUUUGUUUAAAAUAUGUAUAGUUUUGUUUAAACUGAUAUCUUUGAAAAAGCCAUUAGUAAACUGUACACUGGUCUUAGUUAAACAGACUCUCUCUCUCUCUCUUUCUCUUUCUUUAUAUACAUUAUCUAUACACUGUCAAACAUCCAUUGAAAUCUUUUAAAAGAAAGAUAUUUGUUGCUAUUGUAGCUUUUUUCGUCUUGAAUAAUCUCUACAACUUCCAAUUAACGGUAAAAUAGUUCUGUGGUCGUUUAACUAGAACGCUAUCGCUUCUUACCGAACGGAUGGAGUUAGCGGAGUCAAUUCUAUACGAUUUGCUCGGUAAACUUUCCAUCCAGUUCGAAUGAUGACCAGAAGAACUGGAAUGUUUAUAAGGGCUAGAAUGGAGUCUUGGUAAGUUGGACCUCGAACCAGGUGUUAUAGCAGUUCUUGGCCGAAAUAGUAGCGGACUCUUUUGUAAUUCGGUAAUAUUCUCUUCGACUUCGUCCUCUUUCUGCCAAGCGUUAUGUAAACGCCUUCUUUCGGCUGACUCCUGAGUUCGGCGAGAGAUGAUCCUAUUAAAAUUUGACGGUGAUAUAACAGGCUUUGAGAUCUUUUGACUUGAAAAUUGACUUUGCAUAGAAUUUGCCCUUAAACUUCUUCUACUCUCGAACUGAGGUGAUUUUGGAACGGCGGCUCCAGGUCUCGGUCCGUAUACUCUUUGCAAAGGAUUAUUCCAAUUUAAACUCAAUCUUUGCAGGCUAAAAUUUAGAGUUUGUUGAGAAUGAAUAUGAAUAGGAGAAGAUUGAUCACGUGGUAUUUCCAAGAUAUUUACCAGUACAUCAUCCGGUUGAAAAGUGACUUUUUUCUUACGUUUUAAAGUUGGAGACGAUGUCGACACAGUCGUCAUAUUUUUUUGCAGUUUCUGCAGUUUCUUUUCGUAAAAUCGUUAGUUUUUCAAGUCCGAGUCAAUUGAAUGUUAAUAACAACAUCGAUUUCAUCUCCCACCUUCAUAUUCUCUUCAAUUAAACUGUAUCCAACUGAAAAGCUAAGGGAAACAACUACACGACACUGCUUACAAUUCCAACGUUCGAUUAAGUAUUGAACGAAACAACUGCAAAAGCAGACUAUUACUAAUUCUCUAGAUUAGUCGGCCAUGAAUAGAUUAGUGGAUUAGUUAAAUAUUUUCAUUGUUAACCUUAUUCAAUAACAUUUUUAUCCUAAAUUUCUUUAACCAUUUUUAUUUUCAAACGGAAAUCAUCUAUUUUCAAAGUUUUAUGCCAAUCCCUAAUAUUUUUUAAUUAGCAUAAACUAGCCGGCCUAUCAGAAAUGAGCGAAUCGAUAAGUGUCUUUUUGAUGUACAUUUUAUAUCUCAAUACCUUUAAAUGUUUAAGUAGAUUAAAGACUAUUUUGAGUACAACUUUGUACAAUUAAGGAAGAAUAGAUAAAUGGUCGUGUUUACUUUAAAUAUUUUAUGAAUAUUGAUAGAAAUUCACUUUUCAUUUAUUAAUCUUAUUACUCGUUUUUUAGAAUCUCUCUUCUCGUUUGCUUUUCACUUUUCCGCUCUUCUCUUUUCAUCAUUUCCUCUUCUUCGUCUUUACAAUUAUGUUGUAUACGUGAAAUUUCUUUCUCUGGGAAAUCCGAUUAUUAAUAUGACUUUACCCAGAAAGAUACGGUUAGUCUAUCUAUAGACGCUGUCAAGAGGCUUCCUAUAUGAAGUAAUCAACGCAUUUUAUAACAGCACACACAAUAUACACAGUAUACUGUAUACAUUGUAUAUAUAGAUAUAUAGAUAUAUAUCCAUAUUUCCAUGCAAAGUUACAAACAAAUAUAAAUACAACUACAAUAUAUUCAUGUACAUACGUGAAUAUAUUAGUAUAUAUAUGUUUAUACAUAUUUUCAUUUAUGGACAUACUGAAAAACUUCCGCAAGCCUGUUCUUUAUACACUCUGUAAAAAGAAUUAUUGAUUUGCUGUAGGCCCCUGCUUGGCAGCAGCACUGCAGUUUUUUAGGAAUACAGAUCGUAUCCAUGGCCCAUUCAAAUAGUUCAAUCAAUCGGACGACGAAGAAGAAAAGAGGUUCACCAAGCUCAUAAGACAAGUCAAAUGGAUACUGAUCAAGCUAGUAGUAGGGAUAAUCAGUCGUCUGUUAAUUUCCUGGACCAGGCCAGCGCUCAACUAUUCCAAUGCAGUCUUUGUUUGGAUGAGUACAACUCACCAAAAGCCUUGCCAUGUUUGCACACUUAUUGUGCCAAAUGUCUAUAUCAGCAUGUUCAGGUAGCCAAGAGUAGAGGCUACAAAGACACUUUCGAAUGUCCCCAAUGUAGAAUUGCAACCAAACUGCCAAACGGAGGACCUUUAGCUUUUCCUGAUAAUUUUUUGAUAAACAGCGCUAGAGAUUUAUUUAGAGACUUGAAAUUUAAUACAGAAAAGGAGAAGGAGGAUGACGACGAGAGGAAAAACGUAGAGAGAGAGAAGCUGUUAAAAUGUCUAGAUGAUCAAAAUGAAAGGGUUAAAGAAGAAAUAGAUUACGCUUAUAAGAAAUUUACUAGAAUUCUAUUAGUGAAUCAACAGAAGGACUUGGAAGAUUUAAAAGAAGCUACUAACAAAUUGAAAUACUCCAUUUCCAAUUCUGAUAAUUCUCAAUUUAAAGCCGGUGUAUUACGUCAUAAUUGUAAUUUUCAACCAUUCGAUUAUUCAUUUUUGGAGGCCGUUAUGGAAACUAGGAAACCUUUACUUAGAAUAUUUUCAACAUUCAAAAGGCCUAAAUUAAAGUAUAUAUUUAAUGUAACUUGCGAUUGGCUAAUGGAUAUGUCAAGUUAUGAGGAUAAUUUGAUACUUGUAAAAAGAAUCUCUUCUCAUAGAGGAACUGUAGCUAAAUUCAGUGAAGAUGGCGUUGAAUUAAAGGAUCUAUACGGUAAUAUUCCCGCUAGGUGCGCCAUCGUCGGAAAGACCUUGUACGUCACGGAUUGGGUCGAUAACUUUUUACAAGUAAUAGAUCUCACCGAUAAGGAUAAGACUGUCAAAUCGAUUGAAGCAGCGUCAACCGAAUCUUCUUCCAAUCCGUUCAAUUUGAUUAAUUGCGGUAACUGCCUUAUGGUCUUGCAUCACAAAAGUGCCGAUGGUCUAGCAACAAUUCUCGGUCCGACAUGGACAGCCCAAAUUCAAAAGGCGCUACCCGAAGAAAUUAAAUUUCACUGGUACGCCUGUCACGUGACCGGUAGUACAAUCGCGGUAACGGAUAAAGAGGAGAGUUGCGUAAGAUUUGUAAGAGUAGAUAAGGCAAAAAGUUUAUCUUCCGUAAAAGUGAAAGAGGGAUUACUCUUUCCGGCCGGUAUGUGUAAUGAUGUGAAAUCUUGCCGAAUUCUAUUAGCAGACAGACAAGCUGGUCGAAUUCAAAUAUUAUCGUACGACGGAGAGAUUGUGGGUGAACUGUUAAAUAAAGAAGACGGAUUAAAAGAACCACGACUUGUGCAUAUAAAUGAAGUUACGAAUUCUUUAUAUGUAGGCGAACAAGACGGAACUGUUAGAGUAUACGAAUACCUCUACUAAUCAAACACAAGCCACUAUGUUCAUAGUUUUGUUUUAUUGAUAAAGGAAAUGUUCAUCUUAAAUAUUCAAAAGUAUUGGAUAGCGCACAAUGCUGUUGUUCCGUUCGUUUCAAUGAAUGUUGCAAAGAGGCUUAAAAAGCUGUUUAACUUAGUUGGAGGGAAGGCGAUGAUAUUGUUGAAACUAUUCUUUUUUAAAUGAAACUAAUUUAAAGAGAAAGAACACGAAUAAAUGAAUUAAAUAUCUAGGAAGAACUACUAUUCUCUUAAUAGUUCAUCCAUCUAUCUUGCUAUCUCUCUAUCUAGCAUUCUAUCUUUAUCUAUAUAUUUAUCAGUCUAUUCACUUUUCUAUUCGUUUGUCAUUCCAGUACAAUUUAUUAGAGCUUUAUGCCUCUAAUUCACCUUUGUAUCUAUAUAUAAACUAGAGACAUCUUACGUACAAAAAGGAAGAGAGAAUGCGCACGAAUUUACGUGCUUAAACUUGCCAAAGGUCGUUUCAGAAAAGAAACGAACGAUAAAUCAAUAAAGAAAACUGGAAUAGAGAUACAUGUCCUUCGUAAUAUGAGAUAAAUAAACUAAGACACUUUUAUACGUUUAACGUUUCUGUUCCAAAGUCCUUAACUUGCCCAAACGCCUCUUAAAGGAUAAAAGAGGUUUAAGCCAUCUCAAUGAUAGAGAGAGAGAAAGACAGAAGAAUAUAACCUUGUUGUCUUUUAUCUAUCUUUCGUCCUCUUAUAAAUAUUAUACAAUGAAAAGAAAUUCAUCUCCUCAUUCUCUUUUCAUUCACAUUUAAUUCUCCACUUUUUAUCUAUUUAUUAAAUUAUCAUACAGUAUAA